CUGAUCUGGAAGGGUUCAUGGUAUUCUCAAGGGCCACAGAGCAAGUUUACAGGUAGAGAGACAGAGAGUGCAGACUUGGGGCGCUGUGUUUAUUUGGGUCUGAGAAUAAGUAUAUAGGGUUUUGUGGGUUCACUUUUUAUUUGCUAAUUUAAAGCAUAAUAGUGGGAAUUAGGGCAUGGAAGGAAUAAAUGGGGUCACUCAAAUAGUCAGUUUUCUAGGUUACCCAAGACUUUUCUGAAAGAGGGAACUUUACAGGAAGGGGUGGCCUAAUUUCUUAUCUGGUUGUUUUGCUAGUAGUUAUGUCAUAUAACUGGUAAUAUUUAUAUUCAAGAUGAAUGUAUUUUGAAAUGAAUGCCUUGGGAAUCAAAUCUUAAUUACAAGCUCUUCCAUUACAAUCAAAGUUCUUAAUGUCAGGUGCUUACACUUCACUCCUCUACAGUAGAUGGAAUGUGAUUUCUAGCUCUUUAUGAGUGAAGUUAAAAUUCGUCCUUCAAACUGUGAACCAGCUUCUGAAAGGUCCUGUGCUGAGCUCUCACCACCCUGUUUCAGGCCUUAAAGAAGAGUAAACGGGACAUAGUAACAGUGUAACAGAAUUUGUCCUCCUGGGCCUCACUCAGGAUCCUGAAGGGCAAAAAGUAUCGUUUGCCAUGUUUUUACUCAUCUACAUUGUGACAACGCAGCCCAGGGCAGAGGAUUUGAGGAAGAUGGUGGAGUAAGAAGCACCAGAAAUUUGCCUUUCCACCUGGAGAAUAACUGCACUGGCGGGUUCUAGCUGAUGUAAUUUAUUGGAACUUUGGAGUCUAUCAAAGGCUUACAACUUCCAGGCAAGGCUUCAAUGGAGCUAGAUAUCAAAGAAUAAGACAUUCGAAAUCAACCACAUAUACUAGGGAAAUUGGGAAGUCACCUUGCAUGCCCAGGGGAAGGAUCAGGCUCAGAAAAGACCUGGGAAGACCUUAAGUGUACACCUCAGGCUGAUCCUUGGCACAGAGAGAGCCUACAACCAUAAAAAAGCAAAACAAUAGCAAUAGCAACUAAAACAAGAAGAACACCAAAAAUCCAUAAACCUGGGGAAGGGGAGAGAAUCUGAUUUCUAAAGUUACCAGAGUGUUAGAUUUAAAAGUCUGGUUUUCAAAAUAAAACCAUGAAGAAUACAAAGAAACAGGAAGGUAUGGCCCAUUCAAAUGAAAAAAAAAAUGAAUCAACAGAAGUUGUCCCCAAAAUACCUGAUGACUAGACAAAUACUUUAACACCACUGACUCAAAGAUGCUCAAGAAGUAAUAGAAGAUAUGGCAAGUUUCAAGAACAUUAUGUAUGAAUAAAAUGUAAAUAUGAAUAUGAAUAAAAUGGGAAUAUAAAUAAAGAGAUAGAAAACCUUUGUACCAACAAACCUCUACAAAGAAAUAGCAUAUUUUUAGAGCAUGUAUACAGAGAUUCAGAUUUAAGGACUUGCCAUUAUUAUAUAAAAUACAUCUUAAUAUCAAAUGUCAAAUAUCUCUGGAUUUAGCUUUUUUGUUUUUGUCUUGUAUGACCUUAUAAUAGUCUUUCAAAUUAUCCAUUGUAGUUGCUUGUUUCUAUAUUUCUCUUCAAGAAAAAUUGUUUUCUUUUGGGACAAAUUUUUGAAUUGGAAUUUUUAUUGUGGAUGUUAUCCCAUCUGAGUUGUAUUGAAAUUUUAGUAAAUUGAUUAGCAAUAAUUUGUAACAUUUUCAUUAAAUAUAUUUGCCAUAUACAAAGACCUAAGCUUUUUACUUCACUCCAGUACCCUCUUGGAUUUGAGAAUUUCAAAUAUACACUGAUUAAUUGAAAAUAAAGGUUUCUUGUUCACACAAC
rnacentral:lncRNA from 1 species